UGAGAUUCUUCAAAGUAGCCACCCGUUCGUUGCCUUGACAGCUUUGCACACUCUUGUCAUUGGGUGUGUGCCACUCCAAUGCUUGUUAACGACAUGGUUGUGCUGUGAAGAUUGUUAGAUUUGAGAAGGGUCAGUGCUAUCCGGGAUCAUUGGGAAGUCCUGUAACCUUUUGAAGUGGACAUUUAAAACGUUUAAAGGUAGAGGUUAAGGUGAGGGUUUUAGUGUAGGGACGUCCCAAGGACACCGGAUAGCACUGACCGUUUGAGAGGUGCGCUCCUCUCACCGCUUUUGGCGGUUCACUGUAACGGACCAUAGACCUGUGCACUGCAUCGAUUACGGACAUUACGUUUCCUUUCCAUGCGUGUCACCGUGGUCAAAGCACCUUUUCUUUCCUAAAACCUUUGUCGCGUUCAAAAAAACGGAGAAUUCAGAUGCAUCCCGUCUUCAUUGCGUCCAUAACAACUGGAAACUCGGGGAAAAUAGCUCCGACUCGGUAAAAUCGUUUUGAACAGUCGUCCAAAGAAGAUCACUGACGUCUUGAUUUGACCACGUUUUCUACCAGUUACCAGUUGACUUGAAAGCACCAUACAUUCUCCGAGCUACACUAGUGGACACGGUUAUCGGUAAUAUUACAGCAACAAAGCAUUCCGGACGCGGGGAGGCAAGCUGGGACUGACUACCACAUGAGUGAGAAUACCGGGGAAAGGCUAAUUUAACGCUAUUUCUCCGGUAUAGGCUAAGCGGUAGAGCCUACAGACAAAAAUAAAAGACAAUAUGAUAAGCAGAUCAUCUUUUGCUGACUCGAAUAUUCUACACACUUUCUGUCAGCAACAAUGGAAUUUAGUUUUAUAUUGCCUAUUCUCUUUACGUUUCUUGCUACUACUCUGGUGACCUCAUUGUUCAGUAACAACGAUACUCUGCUGCUGACUCGUCCUCUGGCUUUGCAGCAUCCAAAGCAGAUCACUCAGGGGAGGAGGGAGCGAUGAGGUGAAAACUGGAUUAGUUAAAUCAGGACCGUCGGUAAAUCUUACGGAGAAACAGGGGACAGUAGCAGGGCUAACCUCUGCGGACAAACCGGAGGAGGACAGUGAAUGCCGAUUCGUGGGGAAGAUAACGGAUCCGGUGGCAGCGGACAGAAGGACAGUUUGGAAGGAGGGGAUCCAAGCUGCCGUGCACGAGCAAAUGGUGAAAUCUGGCAUUAUGUCUGGCCAACAGUGCUGGAACUCAAACCACGCCUCAGCGCCGGUGGACAUUCCAGGAAGAUACUUUGGUCACCUACAUUUCCCUGAGGGGUGGUCUUUUCUCUUAGCAGAUAUGGAAGAAGUGGACGUAGAAUGUGCGCCCAUGAAAUACGCCCCCAGGAUGCAGCGGACCAGCCAGAUGGAGAAGAUGAGGAGCUGGAGGAGGAACAGCGGGUAGAGUUCACCACUGACUUUACCUCUCUGUAAGCCGAUCAGACAGACAGACAGACAGACGGACGGACGGGCGGGCGGGCGUUGUAAUAAAAGCAUGGGUGCAAUGGGAGCAGCUGUCAGCCAUCUUCCAGCUGCUGAAGGAGAACCAGGAGACGUUUGGGGAGGUGUCAGAGGGAGACGUGGAGGAGCAACUCUACUCCAUCUAAACCCCUAGUCUACUCACAGUCGACUGUACUACGUCUAACUCUACUUUCCCCAAACUCUACUCUAUGUUAAUCCCACAUAAAGCUCACAAUCAAGAUUAAGGUGCAUUCACAUGGUCCACUGGGUUUCAAAGGGGGUGUUGUUUCAAAGGUCCACUCUGUUUUGAGGCACAUACUCUUCUCUAAAGAUUCUGAGGUGAUGGCAAAUCAGGCUUUGGAUAGUUGGGCCUGACUGAUUUGAUUGGUCUGAUAAAAUACGAGGUUCUUACAUCGUACACACCCAUGAAAGCCAACAGUUUCAGCAAGCCUCACAUCAAACUCUUAUCUGAACAGAUCUUUCUCCUUUCAGCUAUUCCCUGCCUUGCCUCGGCCGUAUCCUUAUCUCGUCCAUUGCUAUCUCUCCUCACCCUUUCCCAUGGAGCACCCGUUCCCAUGGAGCAUCCUUUCCCAUGGAGCACCCUUUGCCAUGGAGCACCCUUUCCCAUGGAGCACCCUUUGCCAUGGAGCACCCUUUCCCAUGGAGCACCCUUUCCCAUGGAGCACCCUUUCCCAUGGAGCACCCUUUCCCAUGGAGCACCCUUUCCAUGGAGCACCCGUUCCCAUGGAGCACCCGUUCCCAUAGAGCACCCUUUCCCAUGGAGCACCCGUUCCCAUGGAGCACCCUUUGCCAUGGAGCACCCUUUCUCAUGGAGCACCCUUUGCCAUGGAGCACCCGUUCCCAUGGAGCACCCUUUGCCAUGGAGCACCCUUUCUCAUGGAGCACCCUUUCCCAUGGAGCACCCUUUCCCAUGGAGCACCCUUUCUCAUGGAGCACCCUUUCUCAUGGAGCACCCUUUCUCAUGGAGCACCCUUUCCCAUGGAGCACCCUUUCCCUCUAGACACCUCUGUUUGAACAAACACAUCAUUGGUGCGAACACAAACAUGUACAUUAGAUACUCCAACACGGCUUCUGCUGUUUAUUACUUUUAUAUACCAUUCAAAGCAAUAAGCACUGUGUAUUUGAUACAAGUAAUGGCGUCAUCGUUGUGUCAAUUCUGGAUUUUGUCGUCUCCCCUGUGUGUGCAAGUGUGUGGCUGGCAAUGUAAUCUGACUAAAUGUCUGUAAUAAUAAUAAUAAUAAUAAUCAAUAAUAGAUUUUAUUUGUAGAGACCUUUUCGUUUACAGACAGAAAUCAAAGCUGUGCAGAGUUGCAUACUUACUGCAUUCAUACUGCGUGCUUUUUACACUGAGUUUGGAACAGUUUUUGAAGAAGCAACAGGUAAGGCGAUGACAUCAAAUCAAAUCAAAUCAAAUUUAUUGAUAUAGCCCUUCGUACAUCAGCUGAUAUCUCAAAGUGCUGUACAGAAACCCAGCCUAAAACCCCAAACAGCAAGCAAUGCAGGUGUAGAAGCACGGUGGCUAGGAAAAACUCCCUAGAAAGGCCAAAACCUAGGAAGAAACCUAGAGAGGAACCAGGCUAUGUGGGACAUCAGCCAUCCAUUCCAUGAAGGAUUGUGCAACAUCUUCUCCAAAGACAAUAAGACUCAUCUACAGUAAGGCUUUAUUGAGCUUACACAUUAAAUGUAUUGCUAACGCUUUUGGGAUUUGAAAUGUUUCUUCUAAAAUGUCUUUACAUGUCACAUGCCUAUGCAUUUAUUUAUUAGUGGUGUAAAGUAUUUAAUACUUACAAAGUAUUUGUACUUAAGUCGUUUUUUGGGGGUAUCUUUUUUUUUGCCUUUACCUCCCUUCUCACCUCAUUUGCUCACAUUGUAUAUAGACUUGUUUAUACUGCAUUAUUGACUGUAUGUUUGUUUUUACUCCAUGUGUAACUCUGUGUCGUUUUAUCUGUCGAACUGCUUUGCUUUAUCUUGGCCAGGUCGCAAUUGUAAAUGAGAACUUGUUCUCAACUUGCCUACCUGGUUAAAUAAAGGUAAAAUAAAAAAUAAAUAAAAAUUUA